CAGUCAGACUGUGGUAGAAAAUAAUGCUGCGUUGAUGUAGAAGAUUUUAAAACGUGUAAAAAGAUACCGAGAACGGGUCGCUAUUGUAAUCCAAACACAGGAGCUUUGUUAGAUGAAGAAAAGGGAAUCUAUAAGAAUGAAUGUCCAUGUCCCAAUGGAUACAGUUGCAGAAUAGGAGAAAAUCUACGGGAUAAAAGUUAUAGGUGCAGAAAGGUUAUCGAGGUUGACAACGAUACAACCGUCCAGAUACCAACAACAGAAACUAAAG